AAAAGCACAGCAAGCAGCUCAGUUUGUUUGCACGCGGUGCGAGAACGGGAUGAGGGAGGCGCAGGAGCAGUUCGCGGGCGAGCC
rnacentral:SRP_RNA from 1 species